UACGGAGGGUGCAAGCGUUAUCCGGAUUCACUGGGUUUAAAGGGUGCGUAGGUGGGCAAGUAAGUCAGUGGUGAAAUCUCCGGGCUUAACCCGGAAACUGCCAUUGAUACUAUUUGUCUUGAAUACUGUGGAGGUCAGCGGAAUAUGUCAUGUAGCGGUGAAAUGCUUAGAUAUGACAUAGAACACCAAUUGCGAAGGCAGCUUACUAAGCAGAGAUUGACGCUGAGGCACGAAAGCGUGGGGAUCAAACAGG
rnacentral:rRNA from 1 species